UUACGGUCAUAUCACGUUGAAACACGGCUUCCAGUACGAUCAGCGAAGUUAAGCAACGUCGUGCCUGGUCAGUACCUAGACGGGUGACCGCUUAGAAAUACCACGAGUU